UUCGCGAUAUGAUGAUCAAGCUUUUUCAAAUACAGUUAUCCCUGUCUGAAGUUCUUUGUUGAUAUAGUCUAAAUUUCUGAUCCUACC
rfam:Colletotrichum salicis strain CBS 607.94 Scaffold_998.1, whole genome shotgun sequence.